GGGGUCUGGGUGACCCAUCCUAUCCUGGCGGAGAUUACUGUGGCGUCUACGGGAGGAUUGGGCUCCCUGAUCCGACUGAAUUGUUCGCCGGAAUAGCAUACCCGCCAUGGUUCGACCUGCGCGCGUGGGCAGCAUCCUUCACACCUCUGACGUUGGUGAGAAUCCCCUCAUAGUACUUGCCUCGCUCUUUGGAUCGCAGGAGGCCUUUCGAGUUGAAGUUUAGGGUCCUGGGGUGCCAGAUCAUGUGUCACCGGUGGGGUCUCCGCCGUGGGAUCCUGGCGGCGUGGCCGUGUUCGUCCGUCGGGGGUAGAAGACAACUCUUGAACCGUUGAUCUCCCGUUUAAUUGCUAGGAUUAGAAUAUCAUACCAUUUCGUCCCCACUAAAUAGCAGCCAUUGAUCGAUAGAUGGAGGGGUGGGAGGUGAUCCUGGCGUUUCAAAUCUAGGGCAUUGAUCUCAGAUCCUAGGGCCUGGAUUGAACACCGGUUCACUUAAAAGCAGAUCUAAUCUGGGCCAUAGUCUUUAAAUCCAAUGGCUCUGGGCGCCUCAUGCCCCUUUGGUUUGGUGCAUUUGCAAAAGAGCCCUCAGAUUUUGUAGAAAAUAACCCGCGGUCCACUGCGGGAGUAGACUGAGCCUAGGAUAGUUUUCAUGUUAGCCCCUGCAUUUCUAUUUAAUUGAGGCGCAGUCCAGUGAAUAAGAAAAAUAGAGAAAUUGAAUUAGAAAUUGAAUUUUUAAUAUAAAAACAAUUCCCAAAACUUGAUUAAUUCAUAUAAAAUUCAUUUGAAGUCCAAAUUAAUCCAUUCCAAUUUCUAUAAUUUUGUAAUAUUAUGCUUUAUCAUCUAGUACCACUGUUUUCACAUGAAAGUCACCUUAAAAUUUAUAUCCUAUUUAAUCUUGUACAAAACACACAAAAUCAUUAGAAAUUCAUAACUUAAAAUCUAUGAUUCCGAUUUGAUCCGUUCAAGUUGUGUUAGUCUCGUACGAAUAUUUACUAUGCAAUAACAACAUUUAUUAUAUCAUGUCUCAUUAUUUUAUAAUUAGAUCUGUAUUUAACUUAUGUUGGUUAGUGUGGUUAAACUGCUUAUCAUUAUAGACUACUAGAAUAUGAUCUAUGUUCAAUUUAUAACUUUGUAAAGGUCUCGUAGUGGAUCCCUAGCCAUUCACCUCGGUAGUGUCUUGUUACACCCUAAAAUUCUAAUUAGGGAUUUAACUUGAAGUCACAUCUCCUUGAAUGAGUGAUUUCUGAUAAAGACUUUGUAAAAGCAUCCCUAUAUGAAUUCCCUUGUUCAAAUACUCUCGAAAGGAUUUUAUAUACUAGAAUAUUUUUUUCGUGACAUACCUAUUUUUGGGUGUAGGAAUUUCAUAUUUUAAACAAUGCUUUUACCUAACUAGGAUGAUAAUAAAUAAAUAAAUUUAUUAAUAUUCUUUCAUCCAUGUAGGAGUUUUUGUGUGAGCAUUUAAUUUAGUUGGAGUUGAACUGCAUUCAAAUUUAAUUCGAAAAUUGAAACUGAAUCUAUUUUGAAAUAGAAAGAAUUAAGUAGAAAAGAAAACGUAAAUUAAAAACCUAGAUUUAAAAGCAUAAUAGAAAAAAAUGAUAAAGGAAUAACAAACCUGACAGCCAAAUUGAGUCUAUCCGACGUGAGCCUCUCGGCUCCAUCAUGCAUGUGUGCGCGCCGGCUAUCAUCACUGCCGAUGGGGCCCACUCUCCAGCUACCGCAUGGGCACCCCUCCGCAUGUGCAUGUCAUUCUCCACAGGUCAGCGGUGAACCACACAACCUUUCCCUUUGUUUAUUCAUUUCAGUGUUUUCAGCCCAUCGUGCCCACGUGCUCGUACCGCUUACAUGUGGGCCCUGAUGGCCAGCAUCGCUGUCUCGUGUGUUCACGGGCCGCUUGGUGUUUCACCGCCAUGUGGGGACAAGUCCACAGAAGCUUCCUCUAUCCUCUGCCCAGCGGGACAUUUCCAUGUUCUUUCUGUUUUGGACGCCGCAACAGAAUGCCGAUCUCCCGCCUGAAAUCUCGUCGACUCUUUCUUGUUCUUGCACGAAUUUCGGUUGCCAUCUUCUCCUUCUCCUCAACAUCGGUGGACUGCAACAAACUCCCAUCGCUAGCGUCGUAGAUUCCGCUCGGACUCCUGUGCUCAAGGCUAUAAAAAGGGAGCGCACAGCCACUCAAGCCGAGGCGGUGCUGCGCUCGGGGAGGCAGUCCAGCGUGGGGUGCUCGCGCAUAUAGCUGAAGCCCUACUACUCCCCUUCCACCGUCAAAUCGAAGCCAUAACCAGGCCGUUGGGUGCCUCGCCGAACGCCAGUCGAGGGUUUUGGGUGCUCACGCGGCCGCCAUGGAUUCAACCCAGCUGCGCGGUCGUUCGGACCGCGUAUGGUGGUCGGAGUGUGUAAUUGAAGAACGAUGGAGCAUGUGGUGCCCUCGGCGGGUGCGAUUGGUGGGCACGGGGCGAUCAAUUUCUCACCGGCCACGAUGACCGCGGCGGACCGUGCAUUGCCGUGGGCGGGGCUCUUUGCACCUCGAUUCUAGGUAAGGAAGCCCUAGACCAAUUCGCCUUCGUCCCCGCUUCGUUUACCGACCCUUGGUUUGUGGAUUUGCGCUCGGAUCGGCGGGCGGCCGUGCGCCAGUAAUGGCGCCGCCGUAGGCUUGCUCACGCCGUCUUCCGCGUCUGGGUUGGGGAGACAAUUGCCCGACCGUUGGAUGGCCAGUGUGUGGCGUUGAUCUUAGGGAAUUCGGUUUCGGGGCGGGUUAGUCCAAGCCGUAGAUCCUCAACUGGGCGGUUACCGUGCGAUCCACGCGACUUAAGAACCGUAGCUAUUCGAUCCAAAUCCAAGGGCCUGCAUAGCACCACGUUCAGAUAGUUGCAGAUCUAAUCCAGACCUUGGAUUGCCAAUUGUGCGGCCAGGAUCGACGGAUACCUCUUCAGCCCGACUUGUAUGCAGAAAAGCCCCUCAGUUUUCAGUGAAUCAACCCGCAUUCUAUCUCGGGUUUGCACUGAGUCUUGGGAAGUUUGUAAUCUAGCCCCUGGCCUUAUAUGUAUUAAUGCGCGCAGUCCAGAGCUAAGGGAAAUAGCAAAAUAAAUAUAGAAAGUGGAUUUUUAAUGUAAAAAUAAUUCCAGAAUCUGGUUUAAUCUCUAGAAAUUUCAUUUUGCCUCUUUUUAAUCCAUUCCAGUUGCAUUAAUUUUGUAUCAACAUUGUUUACCACCUAGUAACUCUGUAGACAAGAAACCUAGAUUAAAAUUAUCUACUUAAUUUAUCCCAUACCAAACACUUAGAAACUUCAAAAAUUCAUAACUUCUUUGUUUUGAUUCUGAAUUGAACCGUUCCAGUUGCGUUAGCUCCGUAUAAGUAUUUACUACUCAGUAACAACAUUAAUUAUACCAUGUCGCAUACUUUUAUACAUGAAACCUAGAUUAAUUAAUUGUUCGCGAACCCACGACCUUGUAGCAUCGCGUAGAAUAUUCUUACGUUGUUUGUUCUCAUGUUUGGUGUACUAUUAUUUUUAUAUGAUCCUUGCCUAUUUGUAUGUAUUGCUACGAAUAGUGGUGAGGUCACGAGAAUCUGAAGAGCAAGUUGGUACCUGGAAUCUCAAGUCCCAG
rnacentral:lncRNA from 1 species